CAGACGCUGGUGCUGCUACUGCUGGACCAAGUGAUGUGAUGUACGCCCAGAUUCAACUCAAAAAGUUGGACAAGAAAAAGAAAAGUCAAGAUGGGGAAGACCAGAGCAACCGGACCUGUUGAUGUGACCUAUGCUGAGGUUGACCAUAAACAGAAGGCCAAAGCCAAGAAGAAGAAAGAAACAUCAACCCCACCUGAGYCAGAUUCAGUCUAUUCUCAACUGAAGCCAGUCACAGCCCCAGGUAAGACUAAU